UGAAAGACGUCAUAGUUCAACCCACCCUCUCGAAACAGAUGAAUGUGAAUCAUCAUUUCAUCAGUUUCUUCACCAACAAUCACUUCAAGAAUUGACUUACUGGUCUGAAACUUGUGUUUAAAUCAGUUGUGUUUUUUAUUACUAAAUUCUAAACUUUGUCUGUGUUUUGGUUUGAUUGAGAAGUGUUACUUGAUUAAGAAAACCACAUAUAAUUGUUUUUAAUGUUCUGUUUCGUCAUGCAGAAUCCUUUCAUUUAUUGUAACUUUGUACAAGAUUAUAUAUAUAAGUUUCUAGAUUAACUCACACAAACCUUCUGUCUUAGUUGAUAAUUCAUGCCUUUAGUGUCAUUAGUUGCUUUGAAAAUGGAAGACUUUGAAGCUGAUUUAUCUGUCGUUGAUGUUUAUGAUAUUGCUUCUGAAAUCGGGAAGGAGUUUGAGAAAAUAAUUGAUAGUCAUGGAGUGGAAGCAAUCACCAGUCUUAUGCCAAAAGUAAUUAAUGUUUUAGAGCACUUGGAAGUACUAGCUACCAAAAAUGAAAGGGAAAACACCGUGGUACAGGAACUGAAAGGCAAAAUUGUAAAAUUAGAGAGUGAGAAAAUUGAGAAAGCUGAAGAUCGUCAGCGGUUUGAAAGGGAACUUGAACAAAUUGAAGAUCACUGGAAAGAAGAAACUCAAGAUCUUUUAUCCAUGGUUACACAACUUCAAGAGGAGAAUAAGAAGUUGAAUAAUUCAUUGGCUGCUAAGGAAGACACUUCAUCAGAUGGGAUUUCUCAACCGUUGAGUCCAGAAGUUGAUAUAUGUGUCAUGCAGAAACUACGUACAUUGGUUGAUAAAUUGAGGGAACAAUUGAGAGCCAAGGACAAGGAGCUUGCAUCAAAAUCAGCUGAAAUUGAAAAUCUGCGAGGUCAAAAUGAUCGGCUAACGAGUUUGUGCAUGGAACUUCGACGUAAGCAGAGAGUCAGCCAGAUGCAGAUAAGGGGACUGAUAGACGACAGGGCGGAUGUGAUAGCACAAGUUCAAGACCACCAGCGAGAGCUGGCCUGUCUGCGGGCGCAUCUCGGCAUCACUCAGAAGGAAAACGAAGACCUGACUCAGCAACCGGAAGAUCCUAAUCGCCCUAGGUUUACUACAGCUGAACUCAAAGAGAUUCUUCAUGAACGCAACGAGCUCAAAGCUAGAGUUAGCGAUCUUGAGGAUGAACUGGAGAUUUACUGUCCAAAACCAGCUGAAAGUUCUUCAGUGGUGGAAGGAGACCAUGCUAUUGAAGAAAAAGUUCAGUUAUCUCAAAACCGUGGAGUAAGAUACUUGUAAAUAAAGCUCUCAAAUUACUUCCUGCCAGAAAGCCUUGAUUCAUGUGUUUGCAGCCUGAGGAUGAAACAGUGCAAGGGCCGCUGCCAUAUGAGCCUGAUGAUGCUCCAUGGAAAAAGAAAGAGCAAUCUGGUAUCAGAAAGUUAUUCAGUUUUAAACUGUGGAAUUAAGACGUCGUCUUCCGUUCAUUUAUUUUGGUCCAGAUGAUGUUGCAAGUUAUGUAAUGCAUGCUUUUCAACUAUCAUUUUUUGUAUAUUCGUAUUAUUGCUACAGCUUUCUACUAUUUCAUUGUAACUACGAAGAGAUUCAUUUAUUGCUAAUAUUAUCGUAUUGAAGCAAUCGUUUUAGAAUUAGUGAUCAUAGAAAUUCAUAUAUUUGUAUUUUUUUAAAUAAUUGUAAUGUUACUUGGACAGUAAAUGCCACUUGAUAUUCACAAAAAUGAGAAUCAAAAUGAGAAUCUGUAAUUUUAGAUUUGUGUAUCGUAAACAGACAUUUUUUUCAAAUUUAGUAGUAUCAAAACUAUCAUUGUUUCCUUACUUUAGGUUUAAUGUGUUUUUGUUUCAAGAAAUAUGUUUUGUUUACUUCAUCUUUAUGUUCAAUUUUGUUACCAAUAUUCUUGUAAGUUGAUGUUUAUUCUCCAUAAUAUAACAAACAAUAAUAUA
rnacentral:misc_RNA from 1 species